rnacentral:rRNA from 1 species
CCCUAUGGGGUGCAGCAGGUCGUUGUUAUGGAUCACACCUGUGCCGGCUCCGUUUGCGCCCAUGCCUGUUGUUCUGCCGGAGAUGAGCAGCCGCCUUGACGAAUCACUAUUUGCUGGUGAGGCGCGGAUGGAAAGGGCCUCUGACUGGCUUGACGGCAUCAAUCUCCUUUAUGUGGCUUUUACAAGGGCAGUGGAUGCCCUGCUGGUCAUGGCCCCGCAAGUGAUCAGGACGACAGCAGGUGUCGCCGGCGCCGCCAGCCUUAUUAAUGAGUCUCUUGCAAAGCUGCCUGAUGACUUUGUGGCCACAGAGGAAGAAUCAGUCUGUCAGAUUCAAGGCGGCAUUUUACCUGUGGUUGAGAGUGAAGAGCGUGAACCGUGGCUUGAGAUAUCCCGUUACACCCCCGUUGAACCGCGGGGCUCCCUCAGGCUAAGAACAGGUGGCGCCCUUCCCCGUGACGAGGUCAAGAUGGCUGAACCGGGCGGGGGAGC